AGAGUUUGAUCAUGGCUCAGAUUGAACGCUGGCGGCAGGCCUAACACAUGCAAGUCGAGCGGUAGAGAGAAGCUUGCUUCUCUUGAGAGCGGCGGACGGGUGAGUAAUGCCUAGGAAUCUGCCUGGUAGUGGGGGAUAACGUUCGGAAACGGACGCUAAUACCGCAUACGUCCUACGGGAGAAAGCAGGGGACCUUCGGGCCUUGCGCUAUCAGAUGAGCCUAGGUCGGAUUAGCUAGUUGGUGAGGUAAUGGCUCACCAAGGCGACGAUCCGUAACUGGUCUGAGAGGAUGAUCAGUCACACUGGAACUGAGACACGGUCCAGACUCCUACGGGAGGCAGCAGUGGGGAAUAUUGGACAAUGGGCGAAAGCCUGAUCCAGCCAUGCCGCGUGUGUGAAGAAGGUCUUCGGAUUGUAAAGCACUUUAAGUUGGGAGGAAGGGCAGUUACCUAAUACGUGAUUGUUUUGACGUUACCGACAGAAUAAGCACCGGCUAACUCUGUGCCAGCAGCCGCGGUAAUACAGAGGGUGCAAGCGUUAAUCGGAAUUACUGGGCGUAAAGCGCGCGUAGGUGGUUAGUUAAGUUGGAUGUGAAAUCCCCGGGCUCAACCUGGGAACUGCAUUCAAAACUGACUGACUAGAGUAUGGUAGAGGGUGGUGGAAUUUCCUGUGUAGCGGUGAAAUGCGUAGAUAUAGGAAGGAACACCAGUGGCGAAGGCGACCACCUGGACUGAUACUGACACUGAGGUGCGAAAGCGUGGGGAGCAAACAGGAUUAGAUACCCUGGUAGUCCACGCCGUAAACGAUGUCAACUAGCCGUUGGGAGCCUUGAGCUCUUAGUGGCGCAGCUAACGCAUUAAGUUGACCGCCUGGGGAGUACGGCCGCAAGGUUAAAACUCAAAUGAAUUGACGG
rnacentral:rRNA from 1 species